GACGAAGGUGGCGAGCGUUGUUCGGAAUCACUGGGCAUAAAGCGCACGUAGGCGGCGGCGUAAGUCGGGUGUGAAAUCCCUCGGCCCAACCGAGGAACUGCGCCCGAUACUGCGUUGCUUGAGGAUCAGAGGGGUGCACGGAAUUUCCGGUGGAGCGGUGAAAUGCGUUGAUAUCGGAAGGAACGUCGGCGGCGAAAGCGGUGCACUGGCUGAUUUCUGACGCUGAGGUGCGAAAGCCAGGGGAGCAAACGGG
rnacentral:rRNA from 2 species